AUUUUUAUGGAGAGUUUGAUCCUGGCUCAGGAUGAACGCUGGCGGCGUGCCUAAUACAUGCAAGUCGAGCGAACGGACGAGAAGCUUGCUUCUCUGAUGUUAGCGGCGGACGGGUGAGUAACACGUGGAUAACCUACCUAUAAGACUGGGAUAACUUCGGGAAACCGGAGCUAAUACCGGAUAAUAUUUUGAACCGCAUGGUUCAAAAGUGAAAGACGGUCUUGCUGUCACUUAUAGAUGGAUCCGCGCUGCAUUAGCUAGUUGGUAAGGUAACGGCUUACCAAGGCAACGAUGCAUAGCCGACCUGAGAGGGUGAUCGGCCACACUGGAACUGAGACACGGUCCAGACUCCUACGGGAGGCAGCAGUAGGGAAUCUUCCGCAAUGGGCGAAAGCCUGACGGAGCAACGCCGCGUGAGUGAUGAAGGUCUUCGGAUCGUAAAACUCUGUUAUUAGGGAAGAACAUAUGUGUAAGUAACUGUGCACAUCUUGACGGUACCUAAUCAGAAAGCCACGGCUAACUACGUGCCAGCAGCCGCGGUAAUACGUAGGUGGCAAGCGUUAUCCGGAAUUAUUGGGCGUAAAGCGCGCGUAGGCGGUUUUUUAAGUCUGAUGUGAAAGCCCACGGCUCAACCGUGGAGGGUCAUUGGAAACUGGAAAACUUGAGUGCAGAAGAGGAAAGUGGAAUUCCAUGUGUAGCGGUGAAAUGCGCAGAGAUAUGGAGGAACACCAGUGGCGAAGGCGACUUUCUGGUCUGUAACUGACGCUGAUGUGCGAAAGCGUGGGGAUCAAACAGGAUUAGAUACCCUGGUAGUCCACGCCGUAAACGAUGAGUGCUAAGUGUUAGGGGGUUUCCGCCCCUUAGUGCUGCAGCUAACGCAUUAAGCACUCCGCCUGGGGAGUACGACCGCAAGGUUGAAACUCAAAGGAAUUGACGGGGACCCGCACAAGCGGUGGAGCAUGUGGUUUAAUUCGAAGCAACGCGAAGAACCUUACCAAAUCUUGACAUCCUUUGACAACUCUAGAGAUAGAGCUUUCCCCUUCGGGGGACAAAGUGACAGGUGGUGCAUGGUUGUCGUCAGCUCGUGUCGUGAGAUGUUGGGUUAAGUCCCGCAACGAGCGCAACCCUUAAGCUUAGUUGCCAUCAUUAAGUUGGGCACUCUAAGUUGACUGCCGGUGACAAACCGGAGGAAGGUGGGGAUGACGUCAAAUCAUCAUGCCCCUUAUGAUUUGGGCUACACACGUGCUACAAUGGACAAUACAAAGGGCAGCGAAACCGCGAGGUCAAGCAAAUCCCAUAAAGUUGUUCUCAGUUCGGAUUGUAGUCUGCAACUCGACUACAUGAAGCUGGAAUCGCUAGUAAUCGUAGAUCAGCAUGCUACGGUGAAUACGUUCCCGGGUCUUGUACACACCGCCCGUCACACCACGAGAGUUUGUAACACCCGAAGCCGGUGGAGUAACCUUUUAGGAGCUAGCCGUCGAAGGUGGGACAAAUGAUUGGGGUGAAGUCGUAACAAGGUAGCCGUAUCGGAAGGUGCGGCUGGAUCACCUCCUUU
rnacentral:rRNA from 1 species